rnacentral:rRNA from 1 species
UGACCCGUCUUGAAACACGGACCAAGGAGUCUAGCGUGUGCGCGAGUCAUUGGGAUAACACUAAACCUAAAGGCGUAAUGAAAGUGAAAGUUCGUCUAGCGCGAACAGAGGGAAGACGGUAGGUCGACAGACCGACCUGCACUCCCGGGGCGUCUCAUUCUCAUUGCGAGAGGAGGCGCACCAAGAGCGUACACGCUGGGACCCGAAAGAUGGUGAACUAUGCCUGGUCAGGACGAAGUCAGGGGAAACCCUGAUGGAGGUCCGUAGCGAUUCUGACGUGCAAAUCGAUCGUCGGAACUGGGUAU